GCUACUGUAGCGCAGAUGGUCAACGCGCUGGCUUUGGGUGCCAGAGAUCCUGGGUUCGACUCCCAGCAGUGGCCGG